rnacentral:rRNA from 1 species
AUUGAACGCUAGCGGGAUGCCUUACACAUGCAAGUCGAACGGAGUGGCGAACGGGUGAGUAAUGUCUAGGAAUCUGCCCAGUAGCGGGGGAUAACUACGCGAAAGCGUCGCUAAUACCGCAUACUAUCAGAGCGGCCGAGAUCGGAUUAGCUAGUUGGUGGGGUAACGGCUUACCAAGGCGACGAUCCGUAGCUGGUUUGAGAGGAGGAACAGCCACACUGGAACUGAGACACGGCCCAGCCUCCUACGGGAGGCAGCAGUGGGGAAUUUUGGACAAUGGGGGAAACCCUGAUCCAGCCAUCCCGCGUGUGGGAUGAAGGCCUUCGGUUUGUAAAGCACUUGUGGCAGGAAGGCGGUACCUGCAGAAUAAGCACCGGCUAACUACGUGCCAGCAGCCGCGGUAAUUC